rnacentral:rRNA from 1 species
AUUGAACGCUGGCGGCAGGCCUAACACAUGCAAGUCGAGCGGAUGAAGGGAGCUUGCUCCUGGAUUCAGCGGCGGACGGGUGAGUAAUGCCUAGGAAUCUGCCUGGUAGUGGGGGAUAACGUCCUGAAACGGGCGCUAAUACCGCAUGCGUCCUGCGGGAGAAAGAGGGGGAUCUUCGGACCUCACGCUAUCAGAUGAGCCUAGGUCGGAUUAGCUAGUUGGUGGGGUAAAGGCCUACCAAGGCGACGAUCCGUAACUGGACUGAGAGGAUGAUCAGUCACACUGGAACUGAGACACGGUCCAGGCGCCUGCGGGAGGCAGCAGACGGGAAUGUUGGACAAUAGGCGAAAGCCUGAUCCAACCAUGCGGAGUGUGUGAAGAAGGUCUUGGGAUUGUAAAGCACUUUAAGGUGUGAGGAAGGGCAGUAAGUUAAGACCUUGCUGUUUUGACGUUACCAGCAGAAUAAGCACCGGCUAACUUCGUG